rnacentral:rRNA from 1 species
UACGUAGGGGGCAAGCGUUGUCCGGAAUCAUUGGGCGUAAAGAGCGUGUAGGCGGCCAGAUAAGUCCGCUGUGAAAUCUCGAGGCUCAACUUCGAGCUGUCGGUGGAAACUGUCUGGCUAGAGUCCGGAAGAGGAGAAUGGAAUUCCUGGUGUAGCGGUGAAAUGCGCAGAUAUCAGGAAGAACACCCGUGGCGAAGGCGGUUCUCUGGGACGGUACUGACGCUGAGACGCGAAAGCGUGGGGAGCAACAGG